rnacentral:rRNA from 1 species
UACGUAGGCAGCAAGCGUUGUUCGGAAUUACUGGGCGUAAAGAGCGUGUAGGCGGCCAGUUAGGUCAGCUGUGAAAACUCGAGGCUCAACCUCGAGACGCCGGUUGAAACCAUCUGGCUAGAGUCCGGAAGAGGAGAGUGGAAUUCCUGGUGUAGCGGUGAAAUGCGCAGAUAUCAGGAAGAACACCCGUGGCUAAGGCGGCUCUCUAGUACGGUACUGACGCUGAGACGCGAAAGCGUGGGGAGCGAACAGG